UACGUAGGCAGCAAGCGUUGUCCGGAUUUAUUGGGCGUAAAGAGCGUGUAGGCGGCCAGGUAGGUCUGCUGUGAAAACUCGAGGCUCAACCUCGAGACGUCGGCGGAAACCAUCUGGCUAGAGUCCGGAAGAGGAGAGUGGAAGUUCCUGGUGUAGCGGUGAAAUGCGCAGAUAUCAGGAAGAACACCCGUGGCGAAGGCGGCUCUCUGGGACGGUACUGACGCUGAGACGCGAAAGCGUGGGGAGCGAACAGG
rnacentral:rRNA from 1 species